rnacentral:rRNA from 1 species
UGAGGAAUAUUGCGCAAUGAGCGAAAGCUAGACGCAGCAACGCCGCGUGGACGAUGAAGGCCUUCGGGUCGUAAAGUCCUUUUCAGAGGGACGAGUGAGGACGGUACCUCUGGAAUAAGUCACGGCUAACUACGUGCCAGCAGCCGCGGUAAAACGUAGGUGGCGAGCGUUAUCCGGAUUCACUGGGCGUAAAGCGCCUGCAGGCGGUCCUGUAAGUGGGAUGUGAAAUCUCCUGGCUUAACUGGGAGGGGCCAUUCCAUACUGCAGGGCUCGAGGGCAGAAGAGGGAAGCGGAAUUCCCGGUGUAGUGGUGAAAUGCGUAGAUAUCGGGAGGAACACCAGUGGCGAAGGCGGCUUCCUGGCCUGCUCCUGACGCUAAGAGGCGAAAGCUAGGGGAGCGAACGGGAUUAGAAACCCCGGUAGUCCUAGCCAUAAACGAUGGAUACUGGGUGUCGGUGGUCCUAACCCCAUCGGUGCCGAAGCUAACGCGUUAAGUAUCCCGCCUGGGGACUACGGCCGCAAGGUUA